rnacentral:rRNA from 1 species
UACGGAGGGGGCUAGCGUUGUUCGGAAUCACUGGGCGUAAAGCGCACGCAGGCGGAUGGAUAAGUCGGGGGUGAAAGGCCGGGGCUCAACCUCGGAAUUGCCUUCGAUACUGUCGGUCUCGAGUCAGGGAGAGGUGAGUGGAAUUCCUAGUGUAGAGGUGAAAUUCGUAGAUAUUAGGAAGAACACAAGUGGCGAAGGCGGCUCACUGGCCCGGUACUGACGCUCAGGUGCGAAAGCGUGGGGAGCGAACAGG